rnacentral:sRNA from 1 species
UAGAAAGGAUGGAAAUUCUGUGCUACUAACUCCUACCUCCAUCAGCCAUGUCUUCAUGACCAUGAUGAACUGCACCCUCUACCGAGAUGAUCUUCUCCACCAGCUGGUUGUAGCUGCAGUUGCCAACAGCUCUUACAAUGUCAUCGAUCUGGAAAACACAUGAUGGUCCCACUAGUCCCGGAGAGAUUGGAAACAGUAACAAAGACAAGGUUUCUGUGUGGUCCUGGGUGUCCUGGAAUUAGUUCUGGAGAGCAGGCUGGUUUCCAACCCACAGAGACCCACCUGCCUCUGCCUCCAGAGUGCUGGGAUUAAAGAUGAGUGCUACCACCUGGCUAGUAAUUACUUAAUUACCAUAUCACUAAGUAUUAAAGAUUAUACAUUUACGGGGUUGGGGAUUUAGUUCAGUGGUAGAGUGCUUGCCUAGCAAGCGCAAGGCCCUGGGUUCAGUCCCCAGCUCCGGGAAAAAAAAAAAAACCAAAACAAAACAAAAAACAAAGAUUAUACAAUUAGGUCCUAACAACUUUUCGUGUGUGUGUGUGUGUGUGUGUUUGUGUGUGUGUGUGUGUGUAUGUGUACGCACGAACAGAGGCCACAGGAAGGCAUCAAGAGUCUCCUUCUCUGUAACUUUUCUCCUUACUCCUUUGAGGAAGGGUCUCUGCCUGAACCCAGAGUGGCUGUCAUCAGUAAGCCCCAGUGAUCUUCCUGUCCCUGUCCCUCCACAGUGCAGGGAUGACAGGUGUUUCCAAGACUAUGCCUUGCUUGUUAGACGAUGCUGGGAUCUGAAUUCAGAUCCUCGUGGUUACUCAGCACUCCUGACGGCCCUUCUGCCUCAGCAUCUCAAGUGUUUUUAAAACACUUUUCAAGCCUUUUAAAGGUAGAGAUACUAGAAGAGAUAAAAUUGAGUUUGUCCAGUCUGUUUAUGAAAUUACCUACUAACUGUCAUUCAACUUAUUUGUCACCUUAAUUGAUGACUGUGAAAUAAGUCACAGACAUAAUUAAUUCAAAACACAAGUGGGCAAACAAUGUUUGCCUAAAGUAAGUAGGUGACUUGUAAUGUGACUUGAGAUUCACAGCAAAGUAAGUUCCACUUUCAUGAUGAACAUGAACUUGAAAAGAAAAAAGAGAGGAAUAAAUAAAAUAUGUUCAGUGAGUGAAAUAAACAUCUGUCAUGACCCGACACUAAAGUACACACCUACCCCCCUCCACAAUUUUACAAUGUUUAAAGUAAGUUACUUAAUCUAUUUUGGGGUACAAUCACACUAUCUUGAGGUACAUGCAGCCUGGUAUAAAACACCUGAAAAUGGAGUGUAAAGGUCAAUAUUAAAUUGCUUACUUAGCAUACUAAAUUUAGUUCCCCAAAAGACGUUGCAUUUAUAUUAAAUAUUCUACAAAGUCUGAAUAACUGAUAACACUUCAGUGAUUAUGGAAAGGCUAGGGCGUUACAGGUCCAGAAUCUAAUUAUCAUUUAUCUUGGUCUAUCUUUAGUCCUCCUAAUAAGUCACUUUUGUGUCUGACCUAACAUCCUCAGAAUUUAUUAAUGUAGCAGACUACUAAGGUCUGCUAACCUAAAAGCUAAGAAAGUCAGCAGAUGGUAUUUGAGACAUAUAACUUGGUUCCUUCAGCCUCCCUCACCCCUCAUUUUCUAUAACUUACCUUGUUUCCAACACUGUAUAUGAAAUGUUCUCUGUUCUGUUGCUCUAACAAUCUCAUGAAAUUGUUACAACAUUUGAAUGUGGGAUUUGAGGUAACCUAAAUCUGUGUUCCCAGGCCAGAGCCACUCAUUUUUGGCUCCAGAAUGUUGAACUGACACCUAUUUUUGUUUUGUUUGAUCUGGUCUUUUCAGACAGGCUCUCUCAACAUAGCACAAGCUAGCAUCGAAUUUGCCAUAAGGACUGCGAUGGGACCAGUGCUUUGAAGCUCCAGCCGCCAUGGCUUCCCUGACUUAAUGGACUGUACCCUCAAACUGUGAGCGAAAAUAAACCCUACCUUAAGUUGCUUUUUUCAGGUAUUUUGUUACAGCAGAAAACUGGUUCUCAGGAAUGGAGCCUUUGAUAAACCUGAUCAUGUUUAUCCUACUGAGCUGGUUUGUGGAAGAAUGUGGAAAAGUUUGGAACCCUGGGCUAGAGAAGCCCUCAAAUGCUAUAAGCAGAGGUUAAUCAAAAUAGCCUUCCAAUUCAGUAGCAUGCAUGCAUACUUAUCAACACACUAAUCCAGAGGAUUGGAACCCAGAUGGCUUCAUCUGCAGCCUCAGAUCCCCAACAUAGAGCUGCCAGAUUUGGUGUUGGAAUCUCUCCUUCACUAUCCAACUCAGUUCUUCAUAACUGGUUAGCAUAAUUCAAGUUAUUCUUCUUCCAGGGGACAUUUUAACUAUGGGUGGAAUAUCAAUUUGAAAACAAGUGCUGAGAUGCAUCUCUCAAAACCCAGAUACUGCAAGCUUAAAUAUGAUACUAUAUUCUGAGGCCUCAGUACACCUCCUCUUCCCUUUCUGUUCUCCAAGACCUGAGAUUUAUCAUUCCUUAUUUUAGUUGUUAAAAGAGUUUUAGCUUCCCUAACAAACAUUCUAAUGUAUAGUUACCAGUAAAGGUGCCAAACCUUUGGAGUAGAGUCAAGGAGACAAGUAAAAAAAAA